CCGCGCGCUCCCGUAGCUCGGCCGGUCGCCACUGGGGCGGCCGCGGCCCGCGUCAGGAUGCGCAUCCGGGACCCCGCGGGGGAGCGCGCGCCCACGGCCCGGCUGGUCGCUCCAGUGAGACAGCCGUCGCGUCAGGCUGCCAGACUUGGACCCCUCGGGGAGCGCGCGCGGGCCACCGAGAGCUCCACUGCUGAAGUCGGAACCCCUACCCCCCGGACUGCCACAGAGCGGCGAGCUCUUUGGCAGAUGGGAGGGACUGAUCACAGUCCUGAGACGCCCCGAAGCACAGUCCCCUUUGAGGAAGCAAAUAUUUGCCAUUUUGGCCUGUUCUGGACACCCUCAAGGAAUGUGUGUCACAUGCAGGACUCAUAAUGUUACAUAUGUAUGUAUUUGUUGGGAUGAGAUCAGCUAUAAAUAGCCACAUACAGAAAUAUAUUACAAGAUGGAUUGCUGCAAAAGACAGAUUGCAAUGAGAGUCAGAAACUGUUAUAUGAAGUAACUCUCAGUGGUAGAGCACUUGCCAAAUACUAUUUCUGUGUUUCAAUGUAUAAAUAGCUAUUCACUUAUGAUUCAAGAUUUAGACAAUUCCAUAAAGUAUUCCCAGAAAUAUACACUGCCAGGUAUAAAACAUACAGGUUUCAAUGGUCAAGAAAAAGUGUGUUACAUUUGAAUAACUAUUGAGAGACUAAAAUAGCUGACGCAUUUUGAAGUGACCAUUGGUAAUAAGCUUCAGUAGUUCUGGAAGAGGCAAUAAAAAUAGCAGAGCAAUUUGACAAGCUACUGUGGUUCAAAUAGAUGUUAGAGGUAGCCAAAGUUCAGAAAUUAUGUCAGUGAAGUUGAAUUCCAUUAAGUCAAUCAGUAACUAAGGAAAUAGUUAAAUGAGAUACAAUCUCAAACUAGAAAAACAGGAAAAAUUAAAGUAGUAAGAAGAAUAAUCAUAUUUCUGGAUAGUCCCAUGCUAUCAGACAGUAUAAUCUGAUGGCUGGAAGAUAAGGCAGGCAUAUGUCAAAAAUGGAAAAGAAAGACAUGGGCUAGGGCGUGAGUAAUAACAUAAUAAGCAAUGAAAUGGGCAUCCGUCUGAGAAGCAGAUGACGUCCUCAUAGAUAAAAUGACCUAAAAACAGCCAGAACAUAGUUCCUUUGCUGCAAGCAUAAUCUGCCCAGUGUUGCAUUGCUAAUAAGAUGCAAAGUGGAUUUCCAAGACCAGGUUGCAUCAAAGCCGAUGUUUUCUGCAUGUACUACUUUCUGCCAAAUGAAGAUAAUUGAAGGUACAUACCAAGCUGUCAUUUAGCUCUUUACUUAAAAGAUAACUUCCAUGCCCAUCACAUUCUGCAUAUCCCUCUUUGCUCUGGCCUCUGCAUUACUCUACCAUGUUCACAAAGCCCUCCUAGGAAAAGAGGAGGACAUGGUCUCCUACAUAGCCACAAUGUCCUUUACUCUGAACCUAACUUCAGGGGAAUUAAUGAGAGGAAUAGAAAAGCCACAAUAUUUGUAAUAAAAUGUGUUUAUUACAAUGAAAGAGAUAUAUAAAGGGUACUUCAAGCAUAAGCCAGUCAUAGUAGUAAACAUGGUAUGCUCAUAAGGAAUUAUUUAAAAGAGUUUAGUAAGAGAUUAAUUCACAUAGUUGUACACAGUUGGAGAUUCUGAAGGGUCUCUGAUCCCUGUAGGCCUGAAGAAAUUAUUACCAAAAUCCAGAAAUAAAUCUAUAGAAGAGGGUUACCUGUUAGUAAUUCAGAUUUAAUAGAUUAAUGAAGGCCUUGCCAAGACACUUAAUAUAAUGAUAGUAAUAUUUUCUCCUGCCAAGAGAAGUUGGAAAAAUAUUACUAUCAUUAACACUCUUUAUUGUCCUCCUAGCUUCUUCCAGGGCUUCUGGUUUUUAAGACCAGCAGAAAACAAACACCAAAACCUGAUUAAUAUUGUGCAAAAAAGUCUGCCUCUGAGGGCACAGGGCAAGCAGAAAAUUAUGAGAAGGGCAUGCCACAUUAAGCUCAGCACAGAGAGCAAACAAACUGAGGAUGUCAAAGGCUCUUUAGAGGAAAUAGUGCCUUAGACACAGAAGGUAACUAGGAAGUUAACAAGUAAAGAAGUAAUGACAUUCCAGGCAAAGAGAUAGCAUAUGCAGAAGCCCACAGAAAUAAGAACAUGUAUCGUCUGUUUACACAAGCAAUAUGUAGUGCUUUGGAUGGGAACUGCUCCCCAUGGGCUCAGUUAUCUGAACACUUACUUGCCAGUGGUGGUGCUGACUGGAGGCUGUGGAACCUGUGAAACAGAAAAGUAACUAACACACAAUUGGGAGAAGCACAUGCUACUUGAAGAAAUGAUCUUGAAGCGUAGUUAAAUUGAAAAAGAUGACCCAGAUGGUCAGCAAAAACUGAAACGAAUGCUUUAGUUGUUUGCCUAUGACACAACUGGGUGAAAAGCAGAAGUACACAGAAGUUUCAUAAUGAAACUUUAAACCACAUCAGACUUGUCUACUGUCAGGCUUUGUUACAUUCCCUCUAACUCAACCCAGACUCCCUGAGGUUGGCCAAUAAGGCAAAGUUUGAGUCAAAACCACACCCUUCCUUUGAGCUUUAAGGAUGCACUUAGAAUUCUAGAGAAAUGCAAAGCGCUGGAAGAAGCUGAGAAGGAGGAGGGUAACUUUAUAAGAAGACCAGCAGUCUCAACUAACCUGGACCCCCAGAUUGCUUGGACACUGAGCCACCAACCAGCCAGAAUGCACCAGCUGAUAUGAGGCCCCAACACAUAUACAGCAGAGGGCUACUGGGUCUUGACUCAGUAAAAGAAGAUACACCUCAAGAGACUUGAGGGCCCCAGGGAGUGGAGGACUGGUGGGGUGGGGGUAGGGAGGUGGGGACAUCCUCUUGGAAACAGAAGGGAAUGGGAUGUGGAACAGUCAGAGGGUAAAUGGGGAAGGGGAUAAAGAUUGGACUGUAAAAAAAAAUUAAAGAAUAAAAAAAGAAUGUCAGGUCUUUUUUUCCUCCUAGUGUGGAAAGCCUAUUAUACUCAGUGUUUAUUCACAUUCCAAAUUUAACAAAAAUACAAUAGGUAAACAAAGGUUAGGGAAUCUGAAAGUUCAACUCGCUCAAAGCACUGAUGUUUAAGACUUCCUAAGAGAGGGCAAAGUUAGAAAAAAGGUAUGUCAGAGAAAGAAAAAGGAAAGGACAAAAAGAAGAAAGGAAUGAACCAAUAAUAAAUGUACUAAAGCCUAAAAUUAAGAACAAUAUAAUUGCCUCCAAAACAUGUGUCCUGCCUGGGCUUCUCUCAGCAAGACCAAGAGCAAAGUGACAAAGGCUAUGCCCAGCAUGGCUAGGCAAAGAUAAGUCAAAUCCAGGGUAGGAUAUGGAUCUACAAGCAAACUGUAGGAAGUCAAACAAAAGUGGAGAAAAAUACCUAGAUGAGGAGAGUACACCUCUGGCUAUGUCCUUGAGUGUUUCUGGAUAGGACGAACUAAGGGAAUACUGAAUAUGAAUGGCAGCAUUCUUUCCCUCGGACCCACAACCAAUGGAAGAGGAACAAGGAAGAAGUUUGCUAUUAUAGUCAUAUAAUCUGUGCUUCCUGGUCACCAUGAUGUGCACUUUCUAAUCUGACUCAGCCUACCAUGUCAGAAUGAGACUCCAAAACUGCCACAAUAAAUCAUUUUUCCUUUAAGUUGUUUUGGAUGUUAUGAAGAAUGUGCUAAUGGAGCCAGGCACUAAGACUGCUCUAUUAAAAUCAUCUAGCAUAUUGUAUCCACUUGUCUUCUAUGGAUGUACAAUUCAAGAAGAUCAAAGGUCCUUGCCGUUAUAAUUUAAGGAUCUGAGAUGAGCUCGUCCAGGUGGUCCUUAAAGCCAAGGGCAAGCAUCUUUAUGACAGAGAUGGAGACAAGGAUGAAGGAAAAGGACGUGUGCAGAUGGAAACCAAGACUGUAGUUAUGUUACCACAAAGCAGAGAACACUUGGAGUUACCAGAAGCUGGCCCAGUCUCAACAUGAUUUUGUAAGUGUCAUAUUUAAACCAUAACAGAGAAAGCAAUGUGAUCAUGGAAAUGGAAAAGGUGGAGACUGGAAUGACUCCAUAUCAGGACUCAACCUGUCACUACUGACUUUGAAGAUGGAAGGGACCUAAAAGACAGAAGCAGUAGGUGGCCUCUAGAGGACAGAAAAAGUAAGGAAGAGUUUGUUUUCUCCAGAGCCUCUAGGAAGGAGUUGGGCCCUGUGGACAACCAACUGGAUGUUAACCUGUGUAACAGCUCUGAUCUGCCAGCCUAUAGAAGAGUAAAAUGAU
rnacentral:lncRNA from 1 species